UAAAAUACUCUCACUUAAAAUAUGCUGC
rnacentral:piRNA from 1 species